rnacentral:lncRNA from 1 species
ACAACCCAUUGCUUUUAGCUUUAUUCAAUCAUAUGUUUUGAGUUGAACUUAGUUUUCUUGGUGUCCGUCACAAAUUCUGAAAUCCUCUUUUGAGUCCCCACUAUCUCAUAUCUAAUCAGAACCGUUCCAUUGGUAGGUGUUUAAAAUUGUUGGUCUCCACGGCGGCUUCUUACGUCGUCGUCGUGGAGAUCAGUAUUAAUAUUUGUUAUUUCGUAUUUUUCAUUUCAGUUUACUUUUGUCUUAGUAUAAACCACCUUGAUGAUAAAAUGAGCCAGGAAAAAAUUAUUAGUUGUUUCUUCUUUACUAUAAUGUUUAAAUCAGUGAAAUACGUUGUUUGUGGGUUUGGCUUGGUCUCCCCCUCGAUGCAAAUUCAACAGCUGAAUGUUCAUAUCUUUGCUUCAACUCCUCUAUUAGAUUCGUGGUUUGGAGAGAUUUAUAUUGUGCAUCGCUCAUUCGUGGGCAUACAAAUAUCGGUUGUUGGUUGUUGGUUAUUGAUUGCGAGUUUAUCUUCUACAGCUUGCAGAUGUGGCAAUGCUCUUCAGUGGUUCAUCUAUAGUUUGGUUUCUACAGUUUGGUUCAUUUUGUUCAUCUAUAGUUUAGUUCUCACAGUUUGGUUCUUUUUAUUCAUCUAUAAUUUAGUUUCCACAGUUUGGU